GAAAAAAAGCCAAUCUGUGAAAAGCCUGCCAUCUAAAGGCCUAGGAACAUACUAGAUCAGGGAUUGGCAACCUAUAGCGUGCAUGCCAGCAUUGGAACGUGGAGGAGUAAUCACUGGCAUGCCUGCAAACGCGAGAGAAGAGUAGACUAUUUUAUUGACAUGAAAUGCCUUCUAGAUGUAAUUCUUCCUCAUGAUCAUGCAGUGUGUUUUCAUGAGCUGAAUGGAGGCUUAACAAAAAGUUAAAUGUGACGAGACCAGGGCUGGAGUUGAGGGGGGAUGCCAUCCCCCUUUUUGCAAGAAAUACCAAAAAGCAUCCCACUUACCAUCCCCUUUAGAUCAAUUGAGCCAUGUAUUACUUAUAAAUAAUCAUGCUAGUAAAAUAUUUAAUUUUAAUACAUUUGAUAAAUAAUGAACUUAAAAUAAGGGCGAUUAGCUGGACAGAAUUCGAUUUAGAGUGCGAGGAUGCUUGAUUUAUUUAGGUGAAAUCCCACAAUUAGAUCUGGACACUUGUACAGUUUGGAAAUAUGCUGCCAGGGCGAUGCUUUAGCCAUGCAAUCUGACAACCUUGAACGCGCAAGCUCUCACUCCACUGCGAAAAAAAGAUGGCAGUUUUCUGAAAACACUGUAAAACAGGUGCUUUGCUUAAAUUUCUUUGUCCGCCUCAACAAGAUGCCUCAACAGAUGAAGCAAUAUCAACUUCAGGUCAUGAGGAGGACCUUGAGGAAGACAUGGCCAGUACAUCCAGUGGCAGCACGUCAGUUCCAUUACAAGGGGCCACACCAAUCCUUACCACCACCUCCAGACUUAACCACAGCAACUCUGUGCAAAAUGUGCACUACGGUUUUGUAAGCAAAUAUUUUUUAUUAUUUGUGUAUUUGGAGUUAUUUAUAUUAUGUAUUCAAAGUUUGCCUUUAUUUAUAUUAUUUCCAUUGAAAAGAAUGGAAAAUAAAAGAUUUGUUUGUAUAAUAAUCUAUGUGCAUGGAUUAAUGAUUAAUGAGCCUUAUUGGGGGUCACCAGGUCCCUUUUGCCUGGGGCCCCCAGAGUCUCUAGAAACGCCCCUGCAGUUGAACCUUGAGCCUUGAACUCAAGCCUGAACAUGUAUUUGGAGGUCCGAGAUUGGCAAUUUCAGUGUGUUUCUGCUAAUAGUGUUACUGCUUGGGUGUGUGAAUGUGAUACAUGCAUUUGUGGACAAAUUCUGCAGUUGC